UAACUGAAGAGUUUGAUCAUGGCUCAGAUUGAACGCUGGCGGCAGGCUUAACACAUGCAAGUCGAGCGGGGAAAGGUAGCUUGCUACCGGACCUAGCGGCGGACGGGUGAGUAAUGCUUAGGAAUCUGCCUAUUAGUGGGGGACAACAU
rnacentral:rRNA from 1 species